UAAGCGGAGGAAAAGAAACUAACAAGGAUUCCCCUAGUAGCGGCGAGCGAAGCGGGAAGAGCUCAAAUUUAUAAUCUGGCACUUUCAGUGUCCGAGUUGUAAUCUCUAGAAGUGUUUUCCGCGUUGGACCGCACACAAGUCUGUUGGAAUACAGCGGCACAGUGGUGACACCCCCGUACACGGUGCGGACGCCCAGCGCUUUGUGAUACACUUUCGAAGAGUCGAGUUGUUUGGGAAUGCAGCUCAAAUUGGGUGGUAAAUUCCAUCUAAAGCUAAAUAUUGGCGAGAGACCGAUAGCGAACAAGUACCGUGAGGGAAAGAUGAAAAGCACUUUGGAAAGAGAGUUAACAGUACGUGAAAUUGUUGGAAGGGAAACGCUUGAAGUCAGACUUGCUUGCCGGAGCUUGCUUCGGUUUGCAGGCCAGCAUCAGUUUUCCGGGGUGGAUAAUGGCGGUUAGAAGGUAGCAGCUUCAGCUGUGUUAUAGCUUUCCGCUGGAUACAUCCUGGGGGACUGAGGAACGCAGCGUGCUUUUAGCGGGGGUUUCGACCUCUUCACGCUUAGGAUGCUGGUGUAAUGGCUUUAAACGACCCGUC
rnacentral:rRNA from 1 species